rnacentral:misc_RNA from 1 species
AACGCACAUUGCACUCUCUGGUAUUCCGGAGAGUAUGCUUGUUUGAGUACCUGUAAACAUCUCAAAUCUCCCAGCGCUUGCGCAAAAGAGAAUUGGAUUUGAGCGAUCCCGACUCCUUCGUCAGAAAGAGGAGGGCCGCUUGAAAUGCAGGUGCAGCUGGACAUUCUUCUGAGCUAAAAGCAUAUCUAUUUAGUCCCUUCAAACGGAUUAUUACUUUUGCUUCAGCUAAUAUAAAGGUCGAAUGAACAACCAACGCUGAUUGCAGGAAAACUCGUUCUUAACCGAACUUGUAAACUCGAUCUCAAAUCAAGUAAGACUACCCGCUGAACUUAA